CGUCUGCAGCCGAUGCGGGAUAUGUGUGGCAUGGUGCUGAUUCAGUAGGGACGGGGGGUGUUGAUGUGAGGUGGGAUGGUGGAGAUGCCCUGGCGGGAGAGCUCCGCCAGCACGCUCUCGGUGGCCGGCGGUUUCAGGCCCAAUGGCAGUGGCAUCCACGGCUUGCUUAUUGCCUCCUUCACUACCCUGUCAAUUAACUCCUCUGCCUGUAUAAUGUAUAUCAAAAAACACAAUGAAUUCUAUGGAAUGAAAUUUUAGACCUACCACCAUCUCAAUUCCUGAACAGAUAUAUGGAGUUUACCGGAUAAAGGUCAAUAGGGCUCUGUGGUAUGCCAGUGUUGUAUAUUCCACUUCCAUUAUUAUGAUCAAACCCAGAUGGAUUCUGCAUUUUCCCAAGUGAUGAUUAAUUAUUAAUGACUAAUUAGAUGUAAAUGAAUAUGAAUUCUUUCUUCACUAUAGUCAUUAAUUAUCUGGGCAUACUCACUUGAGGAAAGGAAGAGCAUGGAGUAUGUGUUGGUGUCAUCACAGGGCAGCCCCAUGCAUCGGCAUUCAUCUGAAACGUGGAUGUUUAAAGCCUUCAAUCGACAUGUUUGUAGCAUAAAAUAACAACACUAUCAAAAUUUGAAGACAGACAAAACAUUACCCCUGGAUAAGGCUUCCAAAUCCAACUUUCUGCGGGCUGCCAUGUAUGAUAGCCAGGUGUGCUCCACAUCUGAGCAGGGUGGCUGCUGGGUUGGCCCCAUACAGGGUAGAGCUGAGCAGCUGGGAGGGUGUGACUGGAAUGAUAUGGAGGGAAGGCCAUGACAGGUUUCUGUGGAUAAUAAUUCCUCUGCAUUGGGUCUCUCUGAUGAGGCCAUCUUCUAUCAUCUUCCUUUGGCAGAAUGUGUCUCCGAUGCAUUCU
rnacentral:lncRNA from 1 species